AGAGUUUUAGUUUAUUCUUUAUAAACACUUAUUCGAAUGUGCUUAAAAUACACUGUUGAAAAUUGUUAAAAAUAAGGUUUUUCAUUAUAUUUGAUGCAAAUUAGCAUUUGAGAUUCAUAAAUGUUAUUUGGUUACGAUCCAGCUAUACAUGUGAAUUAAAAUCACAUCGCAAUUGCGGUGCGGUGGCUACCGCAUCAACAAUACUGCGACUGUAAUUGCGAAUACGAACUGCAAUUUAAAACCUUUCACCGCUUGCAUAUAUGGAAUCAAAUAAUUACCGCUGGCAAUGUUUUGUUAUGUUAUAUUGCUAUUUGUAAAGCACACAAGCUGAAGGAAAGAAAUACUUGUAAAAUUGCCUCACUAAUAGUACCACAAUACUUUUUGGUCAUUAGUUUUAGUACUGUUCAUAUCACCUAAUAAAAGUAGCACCUAAAAAAUUGAAAGAGCACAAUUGAAUAAUUAAUAAAAAUAGCACCCAAAAAAAACUCAUGACAACACUUAAGUCAUUAUAUCAUGAAU
rnacentral:lncRNA from 1 species